AGUGAACGCUGGCGGUAGGCCUAACACAUGCAAGUCGAACGGCAGCACAGUAAGAGCUUGCUCUUACGGGUGGCGAGUGGCGGACGGGUGAGGAAUACAUCGGAAUCUACUUUUUCAUGGGGGAUAACGUAGGGAAACUUACGCUAAUACCGCAUACGACCUACGGGUGAAAGCAGGGGAUCUUCGGACCUUUCGCGAUUGAAUGAGCCGAUGUCGGAUUAGCUAGUUGGCGGGGUAAAGGCCCACCAAGGCGACUAUCCGUAGCUGGUCUGAGAGGAUGAUCAGCCACACUGGAACUGAGACACGGUCCAGACUCCUACGGGAGGCAGCAGUGGGGAAUAUUGGACAAUGGGCGCAAGCCUGAUCCAGCCAUACCGCGUGGGUGAAGAAGGCCUUCGGGUUGUAAAGCCCUUUUGUUGGGAAAGAAAAGCAGCAGGUUAAUACCCCGCUGUUCUGACGGUACCCAAAGAAUAAGCACCGGCUAACUUCGUG
rnacentral:rRNA from 1 species